GACAGAGGGUGCAAGCGUUGCUCGGAAUCACUGGGCGUAAAGGGCGCGUAGGCGGCCUUGUAAGUCAGACGUGAAAUCCCCAGGCUCAACCUGGGAACUGCGUCUGAUACUGGAUGGCUUGAGUCCGGGAGAGGGAUGCAGAAUUCCAGGUGUAGCGGUGAAAUGCGUAGAUAUCUGGAGGAAUACCGGUGGCGAAGGCGGCAUCCUGGACCGGCAUUGACGCUGAGGAGCGAAAGCUAGGGGAGCAAACGGG
rnacentral:rRNA from 1 species